rnacentral:lncRNA from 1 species
CUCUAGCUUCUGGGUCAGGACUGGAGUUUGGAUAGUUAAUUGCAGAGAGGUCAAUUAAUGGUAUCCCUUCAGCUUCGAUAUUGGAGAGUUUGGGCCUGUGUUCAGGGUCUUGCAUGAAAGCUGGGUCAACUUCUCCCAUGGCUGGUGAGUAAGAAAUGAUGUCUUUGUCUAUGAAAAGCUUGUGGAAGAAACAGGAAUGAUCGAUUGGCUUUAUAAUGUGAGAAACUUUAGUUUGGGCGGCAGAUGUUGAUGCCUUUUGGUGCGGCAGAUAGUAAUCACUACAACUAGUAAUGCUCGGUUGGCCUCAUCACUAGCCAAUUAAUCAGUGACCAGGUACACAACUCAUUCUCUCUCUUUAUGAGCUCAUUACAAAGAUUUUUUGUCUGUUACAUCAUUUUAAAUUACAUUGAUGGAACCAAAUCACCUGCACAUUUGUCUUCAUCUUGUUAAUGUAGUUCAAACUAAAAUGUAUGACAGAGAAAUCUAUGACUAUUUCUUACUUCACUGGAAAUCUUUUCAUAGUUUGUUAUUCUGGUUUCUUGUUCUGCUAAUAAAUCAUCUGAUUUGUUUAUUAAAUCAUGUUAGAUAUCUAAUUCGACUUUUUUGGCAUUACUAAUAUGAACCUGUGCAGGUUAACCCACAUAUUUUGAGAACUGAAGUUGAUUAGAAUUCUUCUAUUAUUAACCCGAACUGUUUGCUGACCAUUCCAUUAAUCAACAAAAUUUUAGUGGAUCUGUACUUUGUUUUCCUGAAAUUAUUUUCCCUAUUUUCUCUUACCACCUUUGAGAGUAACUAGCUGUAGUUACUGACUGCACUAGUGCACCCUUUUGACACUCUCUACCUCAUAUUUUCAAAGUUUUUUUUGUUCUCUGCUUUUCCAGAAGAUAAGAGAUAUUUCCUAUCUUCUAUUUUUGUAUAAUCAUUUAGUUGCAGUGUUGCACAAAUCAACUUAAUAAUGUCUAAUAAGUUGGAAUAGAUAGUCUAAAAAUGGUUCUUUUAAAUGUGUAUAAAGCUUUCAGCAAAGGCAUGGCUUUGUAGUCCAUGUUAUUGGCUUAUUGCUAAUCCCACACACAAAACAGACCAUGUUUCCAAAGUUUCUUGCUACCUUGUCCAGAAACACAUCAUUUUCUGGACUUGAUACACCGCAUGGUAUGAACAGGAAGCUAAAAUAACAUUAUCAUCACUCUAAAACUUGAAAUCAUAUAUUUGAAUGUUGUCAACACCAAGCUUCUUGAAAUUACUGAGCCUUCUGUGUGUCAUAAACUUUCCCCAGCUGUAGGGCCUGUACUUGGCAGGGUUUUGCUCAUCGAUCAGCUCGUCCACAGGUUUCACCAGUGUGUAAUGUGCUGGAUUGAAGAAGAAAGGAAUGGAAAACCUUUCCUUCUCUGCGUUCACCAUCACCCUGUGCUCAACACUUUCAUA